rnacentral:rRNA from 1 species
CCUACGGGAGGCAGCAGUAGGGAAUCUUCCACAAUGGGCGAAAGCCUGAUGGAGCAACGCCGCGUGGGUGAAGAAGGUCUUCGGAUCGUAAAACCCUGUUGUUAGAGAAGAAAGUGCGUGAGAGUAACUGUUCACGUUUCGACGGUAUCUAACCAGAAAGCCUCGGCUAACGACGUGAAAGCAGCCGGGGUAAUACGUAGGUGGAAAACGUUAUCCGGAUUUAUUGGGCGUAAAGGGAACGCAGGCGGUCUUUUAAGUCUGAUGUGAAAGCCUUCGGCUUAACCGGAGUAGUGCAUUGGAAACGGGGGGACUUGAGUGCAGAAGAGGAGAGUGGAACUCGAUGUGUAGCGGUGAAAUGCGUAGAUAUAUGGAAGAACACCAGUGGCGAAGGCGGCUCUCUGGUCUGUAACUGACGCUGAGGUUCGAAAGCGUGGGUAGCAAACAGGAUUAGAUACCCUUGUAGUC